rnacentral:rRNA from 1 species
ACGUUAGCGGCGGACGGGUGAGUAACACGUGGGUAACCUACCUAUAAGACUGGGAUAACUUCGGGAAACCGGAGCUAAUACCGGAUAAUAUUUCGAACCGCAUGGUUCGAUAGUGAAAGAUGGUUUUGCUAUCACUUAUAGAUGGACCUGCGCCGUAUUAGCUAGUUGGUAAGGUAACGGCUUACCAAGGCGACGAUACGUAGCCGACCUGAGAGGGUGAUCGGCCACACUGUAACUGAGACACGGUCCAGACUCCUACGGGAGGCAGCAGGC